UACAGAGGGUGCGAGCGUUAAUCGGAAUGACUGGGCGUAAAGGGCAUGUAGGCGGUUAUGUUAGUCUGAUGUGAAAGCUCCGGGCUUAACCUGGGAUAUGCAUUGGAAACGGCAUAGCUAGAGUAUGGGAGAGGGAAGUGGAAUUUCCGGUGUAGCGGUGAAAUGCGUAGAGAUCGGAAAGAACACUCGUGGCGAAGGCGGCUUUCUGGCCCAUAACUGACGCUGAGGUGCGAAAGCAUGGGGAGCAAACAGG
rnacentral:rRNA from 1 species